rnacentral:rRNA from 1 species
UCUUCGGAUGGAUUUAAAACAGCUUAGUGGCGGACGGGUGAGUAACGCGUGGGUGACCUGCCCCAUACCGGGGGAUAACAGCUGGAAACGGCUGCUAAUACCGCAUAAGCGCACAGAGCUGCAUGGCUCAGUGUGAAAAACUCCGGUGGUACGAGAUGGACCCGCGUCUGAUUAGCUAGUUGGUGAGGUAACGGCUCACCAAGGCGACGAUCAGUAGCCGGCCUGAGAGGGUGAACGGCCACAUUGGGACUGAGACACGGCCCAAACUCC